rnacentral:rRNA from 1 species
CAGCACCUCAAGUGGUCAGGAUGAUUAUUUGGCCUAAAGCGUCCGUAGCCGGCCGUGUAAGUCUCCCGUUAAAUCCAGCGUCUCAAGCGUUGGACUGCGGGAGAUACUGUACGGCUAGAGAGUGGGAGAGGUCAGCGGUAUUCUGGGGGUAGGGGCGAAAUCCUUUGAUCCCCGGAGGACCACCAGUGGCGAAGGCUGUACACUAGAACACGUCUGACGGUCAGGGACGAAAGCUGGGGUAGCGAACCGGAUUAGAGACCCGAGUAGUCC